rnacentral:rRNA from 1 species
AAAAACAUAACCUUUAGCUAAACAAGUAUUAAAGGCAACGCCUGCCCAGUGAAUAAUUAAACGGCCGCGGUAUCCUAACCGUGCAAAGGUAGCAUAAUCAUUUGUCUAUUAAUUGUAGACCUGUAUGAAAGGCAAAAUGAGAGCCCGACUGUCUCUUAUAACGAAUCAAUUAAACUGAUCUUCUAGUCCAAAAGCUAGAAUAUUAACAUAAGACCAGAAGACCCUGUGAAGCUUUAACUAACCUAUUAAACCCAAUAAUAAUUACUUUCGGUUGGGGCGACCUUGGAAUAAAAAAGAACUUCCAACAUAUGACUCCUCAUAGGACAGGCAAACAAGCCACACUAGACCCAGUAUUACUGAUAAUUGAAAUAAGUUACUCCAGGGAUAACAGCGCUAUCUUCUUUUAGAGCCCAUAUCAAAAAGAAGGUUUACGACCUCGAUGUUGGAUCAGGACAUCCCAGUAAUGCACCCG